CUCUGUUCAAAAUAUAGCUUCACCCACAGCUUUCUACUAUCCUGCUUUCUACACAGCUGAUGGUAGAGAAUUUCCUGAUAUUUAAGAGGGCAACCUGGAGAAUGGAAAUACUAACCUCCUAGAAAAUAAGGACUGAGUCUUGAAAAAUUAUAGGAGAGAGGGGACCUGGUCUGGUUUACCGUCUGAAUCCUCUGGUGGAGAAAAAGAAACUCAGCAGAGGAACUCAAGGGAGCUAAAAAGAUCAAACACAGCAGGAGUAAGAGAGGAAGAGGAGAUAAAUAUUAUAUGGCCUUCAGAUGUCACUGCAAGCUCUCCUAAGAAAUGCCUGGAAAUACCCAAUGCAGAAACACCAAUCUGAGCAAGCACUCUUCUAUUUUCUUCGGAUUUGAACCAAUUCUCCUUGUCACUGUGACAAUGGUGAACUUCAGCACUGCUCUUCCUUUCUAGGUGGUGAUAAAAGGCUUGUAGCCUUGCUUAAUGUUAUGAUUGACUUUGGCAGUGGGAAGUUAACGACUGAAAUGCCUUUGCAAUAGGGGAAAGCUUUUUGGUMAGAACUUGAUAUUAGUGCUCGUUCUAAUGCCAAAGCUUAGUGCUAGCUCAGCACCUUAAACUUGUAAAUGGAAGGGAAUAAUAAAAGUUGCUUAUCUUAAUUUGAUUAAAUAUAA